ACACUAAAUUCACAACCCCACAAAUAAUCCCACGGAGAUCGAUUUUUCAAAACAGAUUACUAUAACUUGCCGGAAAUCUCGAAAAUCGCACCAGAACUCCGCCGGGACCCAUGAAGUGUCCCAUGACUCACCGACUGGCGUCACGAGUCACCCUCUACCACAAAACACCAUAAUAAGCUCACAUCGAAAUAAUUAACGUUGGAUAAUCGUUCCGAUUUUGGUUCCCGAAAAUAUCAAUUUCGACACCGGAACCCAUCGUCGCUCACCC
rnacentral:lncRNA from 1 species